UUAAUUGAAACCAAAUGAGAGGUAUUUCACUGUUAAUGAAAAAAAUGAGAAUUUUCUCCAAUUAAG
rnacentral:tRNA from 1 species